UGGGGAAUUUUGCGCAAUGGGGGAAACCCUGACGCAGCAACGCCGCGUGAGUGAUGAAGGCCUUCGGGUCGUAAAGCUCUGUCAGAGGGAAAGAAAUGCAGAUGCGCUAAUAUCGCGACUGCUUGACGGUACCCUCAAAGGAAGCACCGGCUAACUCCGUGCCAGCAGCCGCGGUAAUACGGAGGGUGCGAGCGUUGUUCGGAAUUAUUGGGCGUAAAGCGCGUGUAGGCGGUUUGUUAAGUCUGAUGUGAAAGCCCUGGGCUCAACCUGGGAAGUGCAUUGGAAACUGGCAGACUUGAAUACGGGAGAGGGUAGUGGAAUUCCUAGUGUAGGAGUGAAAUCCGUAGAUAUUAGGAGGAACACCGGUGGCGAAGGCGGCUACCUGGACCGAUAUUGACGCUGAGACGCGAAAGCGUGGGGAGCAAACAGG
rnacentral:rRNA from 1 species